UACGAAGGGGGCGAGCGUUGUUCGGAGUUACUGGGCGUAAAGGGCGCGUAGGCGGUUUUUCAAGUCAGGUGUGAAAGCCCUGGGCUCAACCCGGGAACAGCACUUGGGACUGGAAGGCUUGAGAUCGAGAGAGGAUGAUGGAAUUCCCAGUGUAGAGGUGAAAUUCGUAGAGAUUGGGAAGAACACCGGUGGCGAAGGCGGUCAUCUGGCUCGUAUCUGACGCUGAGGCGCGAAAGCGUGGGGAGCAAACAGG
rnacentral:rRNA from 1 species